rnacentral:rRNA from 1 species
UACGUAGGUGGCAAGCGUUGUCCGGAAUUAUUGGGCGUAAAGCGCGCGCAGGCGGUCCUUUAAGUCUGAUGUGAAAGCCCACGGCUCAACCGUGGAGGGUCAUUGGAAAGUGGGGGACUUGAGUGCAGAAGAGGAGAGUGGAAUUCCACGUGUAGCGGUGAAAUGCGUAGAGAUGUGGAGGAACACCAGUGGCGAAGGCGACUCUCUGGUCUGUAACUGACGCUGAGGCGCGAAAGCGUGGGGAGCAAACAGG